GGUAGGCAGGUAGCUAAUCACAGCAUUGUUUUUGGUACAGCUUUUUCCAAAAAGAUGCUGAGGAAAGUCCACCCACCACAAGAAACUGCUCUUCAGAGUUCCUGAAAAGGAAGGCAACCGUCCAGAAACAGCACGGCCUUGGUUGUAGGAUGAUAUGGCGAAUCUUUCCGCAAGGGAAGAGAGUUAACCUGUUGACAUUAACCAAGGAAGCGAUGAAAUGGUGAGCCCCAGUUGGUGCAAGUCUUUGAGACGCUCAGUUGAAUGAUUAGCACUCACUUAAACUUAUGUUUGUGAGAACAGAAGGUGGCUUAUUCCUGUCUACC
rnacentral:RNase_P_RNA from 1 species